AUUGAACGCUGGCGGCAGGCUUAACACAUGCAAGUCGAGCGCCCCGCAAGGGGAGCGGCAGACGGGUGAGUAACACGUGGGAAUCUACCCAUCCCUACGGAACAACUCCGGGAAACUGGAGCUAAUACCGUAUACGCCCUUCGGGGGAAAGAUUUAUCGGGGAUGGAUGAGCCCGCGUUGGAUUAGCUAGUUGGUGGGGUAAAGGCCUACCAAGGCGACGAUCCAUAGCUGGUCUGAGAGGAUGAUCAGCCACAUUGGGACUGAGACACGGCCCAAACUCCUACGGGAGGCAGCAGUGGGGAAUAUUGGACAAUGGGCGCAAGCCUGAUCCAGCCAUGCCGCGUGAAUGAUGAAGGCCUUAGGGUUGUAAAGUUCUUUCACCGAUGAAGAUAAUGACGGUAGUCGGAGAAGAAGCCCCGGCUAACUUCGUGCCAGCCGCCGCCGUAA
rnacentral:rRNA from 1 species